rnacentral:rRNA from 1 species
GGGGAAUAUUGGACAAUGGGCGAAAGCCUGAUCCAGCAAUACCGCGUGAGUGAUGACGGUCUUCGGAUUGUAAAACUCUUUUAGUAGGGAAGAUAAUGACGGUACCUACAGAAAAAGCACCGGCAAACUUCGUGCCAGCAGCCGCGGUAAUACGAAGGGUGCUAGCGUUGUUCGGAAUCACUGGGCGUAAAGCGUACGUAGGCUGUUUAGUAAGUCGAUUGUGAAAGCCCCAGGCUUAACUUGGGAAUUGCAACCGAAACUACUUUGCUAGAAUAUGGUGGGGGAUAGUGGAAUUCCUAGUGUAGGGGUGAAAUCCGUAGAUAUUAGGAGGAAUACCGGUGGCGAAAGCGACUAUCUAUGCCAUUAUUGACGCUAAGGUACGAAAGCGUGGGGAGCAAAC